rnacentral:rRNA from 1 species
GGUUGCGAUCAUACCAGCACUAAUGCACCGGAUCCCAACAGAACUCCGCAGUUAAGCGUGCUUGGGCGAGAGUAGUACUAGGAUGGGUGACCCCCUGGGAAGUCCUCGUGUUGCAACCC